GCCAACGUUCAUAUCACGUUGAAUACACCAGUUCUCGUCCGAUCACUGAAGUUAAGCAACGUUGAGCGUAGAUAGUACUUGGAUGGGUGACCGCUUGGGAACACCACGUAACGUUGGCG
rnacentral:rRNA from 1 species